rnacentral:rRNA from 1 species
CCUACGGGUGGCAGCAGUGAGGAAUAUUGGUCAAUGGACGAGAGUCUGAACCAGCCAAGUAGCGUGAAGGAUGACUGCCCUAUGGGUUGUAAACUUCUUUUAUAUGGGAAUAAAAUGUUCCACGUGUGGGAUUUUGUAUGUACCAUAUGAAUAAGGAUCGGCUAACUCCGUGCCAGCAGCCGCGGUAAUACGGAGGAUCCGAGCGUUAUCCGGAUUUAUUGGGUUUAAAGGGAGCGUAGGUGGAUUGUUAAGUCAGUUGUGAAAGUUUGCGGCUCAACCGUAAAAUUGCAGUUGAUACUGGCAGUCUUGAGUACAGUAGAGGUGGGCGGAAUUCGUGGUGUCGCGGUGAAAUGCUUAGAUAUCACGAAGAACUCCGAUUGCGAAGGCAGUUCACUGGACUGCAACUGACACUGAGGCUCGCAAGUGUGGGUAUCAAACAGGAUUAGCUACCCCUGUAGUC